GUUACAGCGCAGCUGGUGCAUGACCAGAGGAUUCUCCAUGGCCCCAGGAGUCUUGGUCUCGUUGGGGAUGAUGCAACGCACAAAGUGGGGAUUGACAGACUGCCAGGCCAUCUCUACUGCUCCCCCAGGCUAAGACCAUCUCUUCCCUCACCAAGGCACGUGGGUUCCCUGACAGGGGGUGAAAGAAAGAUAUAGUCAGCAUACAGGAUUCUGUUGGGGAAGCCCUUUCUGCAGAUCCUGAUGCCUUCCAGCACACCGUUACAGCGCAGCUGGUGCAUGACCA